rnacentral:lncRNA from 1 species
CUCGUUGAACGUACCGCUGAAGCACUCCGUGCAGAUGCUUCAGCGAAGCUGAAACGUGCGGCUACGGAAUUUAUCACUGGGUUAAUCCCGGCGGUUUCUUUAAGCUUUCUUCAAUGACUGGUUACGUCUGCCUAGAAAUCUUAAUUGGCGUUUGCCGCCCGUCUGUUGCCUUCUUCAUUUUUAGUGGACCAGCGGUGAGGAGUGGGAUGUGUCCACAUUCUGUGUGACUGGCCACCUGCGUGCUAUAAAGUGACAACUGUAUCAAGUUUGUUACAUCAGCAAUAUCACACGGCGUCGCUAUGGACUACGCAUACCUUGUUGCGGCAUACCUGUGAAAGAAAAGGUCGCCAUGCGAUGUUAUGGAGUUUUUGCCUGUUCACACCGCCCUCUUCUAGAGUCACUGCAUCCCACGCCGGACAGAUCGGCGCACGCGUUUCCGGAGCGAAACAGAGGAGGAAGAAGAUGAAGAAGAGGAUGAGCGGAGAGCAUGCCUGUUUGUGAUGGGGAUAAUUUUUUAUCCACGACACACGGCAAACCUCGAGUAUAACAGCUGUGCUGUAAGACUGCUAUUUGGCCUACUUUUCUGGUUACUCUGUCCAAACGACAUGUUCAGCUCUGAAAACUACUGCCUAUUUUUUGCGCUCAUUGUAUUGCGGCAAAGAAAUCAUCUGUGACAGCACAAGAAAAAGUCAUGAUACGGGCAAAUACUUCACAAAUACGCGCUGCACAAGAAAUCAGUUCAAUUGAACGGCACCAAUUAAAAAAACACUUUUAUUUUGAACAGUGAGUGACCAUCUGCGUGGCAGAGCACCAAUUGUAUGUUUGUUCUUUCAGCAAUGUCGCACUAUUUCACUUGGGGUCAACGCAGACCAUGUUGUGGCAUAUCUGUGAAAGAAGUGAUGAGAAAAUCACUCAUUUUCUCGCUUCGAGAUGAUAUCAAGCGAUUUUAAGCCCUGUCAAUAUUGGAAUCGGGUGAAUUAUUCAUGUGCAUGCAUUAUCAAUAUGACUAGUAAAAGUCUACA